GAGUUUGAUCAUGGCUCAGGACGAACGCUGGCGGCGUGCUUAACACAUGCAAGUCGAACGAUGAAGCCUAGCUUGCUAGGUGGAUUAGUGGCGAACGGGUGAGUAAUACGUGAGUGACCUACCUUUGACUCUGGGAUAAGCCUGGGAAACUGGGUCUAAUACCGGAUACGACCAAUCUCCGCAUGGGGUGUUGGUGGAAAGCGUUAUGGAGUGGUUUUAGAUGGGCUCACGGCCUAUCAGCUUGUUGGUGAGGUAAUGGCUUACCAAGGCGACGACGGGUAGCCGGCCUGAGAGGGUGACCGGCCACACUGGGACUGAGACACGGCCCAGACUCCUACGGGAGGCAGCAGUGGGGAAUAUUGCACAAUGGGCGCAAGCCUGAUGCAGCGACGCCGCGUGAGGGAUGACGGCCUUCGGGUUGUAAACCUCUGUUAGCAUCGAAGAAGCGAAAGUGACGGUAGGUGCAGAGAAAGCGCCGGCUAACUACGUGCCAGCAGCCGCGGUAAUACGUAGGGCGCGAGCGUUGUCCGGAAUUAUUGGGCGUAAAGAGCUUGUAGGCGGUUGGUCGCGUCUGCUGUGAAAGGCUGGGGCUUAACCCUGGUUUUGCAGUGGGUACGGGCUAACUAGAGUGCAGUAGGGGAGACUGGAAUUCCUGGUGUAGCGGUGGAAUGCGCAGAUAUCAGGAGGAACACCGAUGGCGAAGGCAGGUCUCUGGGCUGUAACUGACGCUGAGAAGCGAAAGCAUGGGGAGCGAACAGGAUUAGAUACCCUGGUAGUCCAUGCCGUAAACGUUGGGCACUAGGUGUGGGGGACAUUCCACGUUUUCCGCGCCGUAGCUAACGCAUUAAGUGCCCCGCCCUGGGGAGUACGGCCGCAAGGCUAAAAACUCAAAGAAAAUUGACGGGGGCCCGCACAAGCGGCGGAGCAUGCGGAUUAAUUCGAUGCAACGCGAAGAACCUUACCAAGGCUUGACAUAUACUGGACUGCGUCAGAGAUGGCGUUUCCCUUCGGGGCUGGUAUACAGGUGGUGCAUGGUUGUCGUCAGCUCGUGUCGUGAGAUGUUGGGUUAAGUCCCGCAACGAGCGCAAACCCUCGUUCUAUGUUGCCAGCACGUGAUGGUGGGGAACUCAUAGGAGACUGCCGGGGUCAAACUCGGAGGAAGGUGGGGAUGACGUCAAAUCAUCAUGCCCCUUAUGUCUUGGGCUUCACGCAUGCUACGAAUGGCCGGUACAGAGGGUUGCGAUACUGUGAGGUGGAGCUAAUCCCUAAAAGCCGGUCUCGAGUUUCGGAUUGGGGUCUGCAACUCGACCCCGUGAAAGUCGAAGUCGCUAGUGAAUCGCAAGAUUCAGCAAACGCUGCGGUGAAAUACGUUUCCCGGGCCUUGCACACACCGCCC
rnacentral:rRNA from 1 species